AUUAGGGUUAACAGUUAAUUUAAUGAACUUAAAAUACUGUAUGAUUGAUUUUCCAUCUCCAACCUGCAUGUUACUCUGUAGUUCAGUUUCAUUCAUUUCAUUUUUAUCAUUAUCCAUUUCUUUUAGAAUUUUCCUGUGAAGAAAUCCUAAAUGAGGGUUGAGGUGAAGGCAACCAGGUGAUGGGCAGUUCAAGAUUGCUGUCGUUUGAGAAGUUAAUGAACAAAUCUUCUUUCCUGUUGCGGUUGUGAGCUACAAAAUACCCAGAGGAGGCGGCACUUACUCUGGAGUUCAUACAGAAAAUUUUCCUGUGAAGAAAUCCUGAACGUGGUUUGAGAUGAAGGCAACCAAGUGGCUAUGCAUUCCUCCAAGACUCUUGCAUGAACAAUUCCAAACAAAAAUCCAUGUAAUAUUUGAGUUUUUAAAUUGAAAAACAUGGCACUUGCAUUAAACAUUCAGUUAAAUGGUAAAGAAUACAUCCCAUAUAAUGAAUUGCAUCACUUCAAUGAUAUUUCUGUUAUAAUGAACUUCAAAAUUCUGUUG